GAGAGCCCGUUGCGGAGAGAUCCGCACGGCGGGUUCGGCGAGCGGCCUGGGGAAACGGGCCGGGAGUGAUCCCGGCACCGCGCCUCAGGCCGACUCAGC
rnacentral:ncRNA from 1 species